rnacentral:rRNA from 1 species
AUGAUGGAUAGGCCAAGUACUUCUACCAACCCACUCUUCCUUAAGAAAGACGACGACCCGAACAACUACGUCACCAAACUACACCUCUUUGGUACACAACGAGCCUUGCAUGAAGAGCAACUAGCAAUGAGCAACCGCAUCGACAACCUCGCCACCGACUUGCGACUCUUCGAGCAACGCACAAGAGACUACUUCGACCACAAGCUCGACGAGUACAAGCAUAAGAAUGACACAAGAAUGGAUGAGAUUCGUGCCUUGUUGGUCAACCGCUCUUCUACCACUUUGUCCUACUCAAGAAGGAGCCGCUUGAGUUGA